GGAGUUGUAGCUUAUCAGUUAGAGCAUCGGACUCACGACUUGAAGGUCGGGGGUUCGAUUCCCGAUCCCA
rfam:Macrostomum lignano uti_cns_0000573, whole genome shotgun sequence.